rnacentral:rRNA from 1 species
GACGAACCGAGCGAACGUUGUUCGGAAUCACUGGGCUUAAAGCGCGCGUAGGCGGCUUUGUAAGUUAGAGGUGAAAGCCCAGGGCUCAACCCUGGAAUUGCCUUUAAGACUGCAUCGCUUGAACAUCGGAGAGGUAAGUGGAAUUCCGAGUGUAGAGGUGAAAUGCGCAGAUAUCAGGAGGAACACCAAUUGCGAAGGCAGCUCGCUGGGACGUAACUGACGCUGAGACGCGAAAGCGUGGGGAGCAAACAGG